GACGAACGUUGGCGGCGUGCUUAACACAUGCAAGUCGAGCGAGGCCCCUCCUUCGGGAGGGUGUCCUAGCGGCGAACGGGUGAGUAACACGUGGGCAACCUGCCCUCAGCUCUGGGAUAACUCCGGGAAACCGGGGCUAAUACCGGAUACGACCUCCACGGGCAUCUGCGGAGGUGGAAAGUUUUUCGGCUGAGGAUGGGCCCGCGGCCUAUCAGCUAGUUGGUGGGGUAGUGGCCCACCAAGGCGACGACGGGUAGCCGGCCUGAGAGGGCGACCGGCCACACUGGGACUGAGACACGGCCCAGACUCCUACGGGAGGCAGCAGUGGGGAAUAUUGCGCAAUGGGCGAAAGCCUGACGCAGCGACGCCGCGUGAGGGACGAAGGCCUUCGGGUUGUAAACCUCUUUCAGCAGGGACGAAGCGAAAGUGACGGUACCUGCAGAAGAAGCACCGGCCAACUACGUG
rnacentral:rRNA from 1 species